AUGGAAAGUUGCAAUCCAAUUUCGACACCAAUGAAACCAGGAGCCAAGCUUUCAAAAUUUGAUGGGGGAGAGCGUGUCGAAGAAAACAAAUUUCGAAGCUUGGUGGGAAGUCUUCGAUACCUCACAUGCACAAGGACAAAUCUUUCGCUGAGUGUUAGAAUUGGGAGUCGUUUCAUGGAAGAACCAGUUUUUGCACACUGGAAAGCUCUAAAGAGAAUCCUUCGAUAUGUCCCAGGAACUAUGUCACUUGGAAUGUUUUAUUCAAAAGCAGAAGAAUACAAGUUGACUGGCUACUCUGACAACGAUUGGUGUGGUGACAUAGAUGAUCGAAAGAGCACAUUCAGGAUAUGUGUUCUUCAUGGGAAGCACUACAUUCACCUGGCUGUCAAGGAAGCAACCCAUAAUAAC